AUGAAAUUUGGAGCGGGAGGGGUGGCUCUUUCGCACCUUUACUUUCUUGGAACUUGGAGUAAACCUCUAUUGGGUGUCACUGACCCGUUCAUUGCUGAACUCUUAGCUUUCCGGGAGGGGAUGAUCUUUGCUCAACUUCGUGGCUUCUCACAUGUGGUAAUGGAGAUUGACUGCUUGGAGCUAGUCAACAUCUGGAAAUCGCGCGACAAUUCUCGUUCAAUUGUUGCACCUAUCUUCGAGGAAUUAGAGGAUAUUAGUGCUAGUUUUGCUUCUUUGAUGGUUACUCAUGUUGGUAGAUCUUGCAAUGUACCAGCCCAUCAGUGUGCUCGCCUUGCUUGCUCACUGGAUGGCACUGAAAGCUGGCUUGGUUCCAGCCUUGAGUUCCUACGGUCUUGCCUAAAGACAGAUUGUAACCUCAUCAUGCUACUUGAUUAA
rnacentral:rRNA from 1 species